rnacentral:rRNA from 1 species
UACGUAGGUGGCAAGCGUUGUCCGGAAUUACUGGGUGUAAAGGGCGAGUAGGCGGGUAUGCAAGUCAGAUGUGAAAUACCGAGGCUUAACCUCGGGGCUGCAUUUGAAACUGUAAAUCUUGAGUGAUGGAGAGGCAGGCGGAAUUCCCGGUGUAGCGGUGAAAUGCAUAGAGAUCGGGAGGAACACCAGUGGCGAAGGCGGCCUGCUGGACAUUAACUGACGCUGAGGCGCGAAAGUGUGGGGAGCAAACAGGAUUAGAUACCCUGGUAGUUCACACCGUAAACGAUGGAUACUAGGUGUGCGGGGUCUGACCCCCUGCGUGCCGGAGUAAACACAAUAAGUAUCCCACCUGGGGAGUACGAUCGCAAGAUUGAAACUCAAAGGAAUUGACGGGGGCCCGCACAAGCAGUGGAGUAUGUUGUUUAAUUCGACGCAACGCGAAGAACCUUACCAGGGUUUGACAUCCAAAGAACGACGUUGAAAGACGUUGAUGCCCUUCGGGGAGCUUUGAGACAGGUGGUGCAUGGUU